rnacentral:rRNA from 1 species
GGAGGUCGACGACCGGCGCACGGGUGAGUAACGCGUAUGCAACCUACCUUUUACAGGAGGAUAGCCCAGAGAAAUUUGGAUUAACACUCCAUAGUACUAAUGAAUCACCUGGUUUAUUAGUUAAAACUCCGGUGGUAAAAGAUGGGCAUGCGUGUCAUUAGCUAGUUGGUAAGGUAACGGCUUACCAAGGCGAAGAUGACUAGGGGUUCUGAGAGGAAGAUCCCCCACACUGGUACUGAGACACGGACCAGACUCCUACGGGAGGCAGCAGUGAGGAAUAUUGGUCAAUGGGUGAGAGCCUGAACCAGCCAUGCCGCGUGAAGGAAGACUGCCCUAUGGGUUGUAAACUUCUUUUCUGCAGGAAGAAAUCACUCUACGUGUAGGGUGUUGCCGGUACUGCAGGAAUAAGCAUCGGCUAACUCCGUGCCAGCAGCCGCGGUAAUACGGAGGAUGCAAGCGUUAUCCGGAUUUAUUGGGUUUAAAGGGUGCGUAGGCGGGCUUGUAAGUCAGUGGUGAAAUGCUGUGGCUUAACCAUAGAAUUGCCAUUGAAACUGCAAGUCUUGAGUACAGUUGAGGUGGGCGGAAUGAGUAAUGUAGCGGUGAAAUGCAUAGAUAUUACUCAGAACUCCGAUUGCGUAGGCAGCUUGCUAAACUGUAACUGACGCUGAUGCACGAAAGCGUGGGGAGCGAACAGGAUUAGAUACCCUGGUAGUCCACGCUGUAAACGAUGAGCACUGGUUGUUGGCAAUACACCGUCAGCGACUGAGCGAAAGUAUUAAGUGCUC